AAUGAGAGCUGGGUGGGCAGGACCCUCGUCUGCUCACCAGCUCUGGGAGGCCCCCAGCCUUCAGGCUGAGAGUGGGCAGCUGGGGAGGCCGCGCCAGACGGGCCUUCUUCCCUGCGGCAGUGCGAGGGAGCGCGGGAAGGCCUCCAAAAGGGUUAGGACCCGUCGAGGGAAAGAAAUGUCAAAGGAAGCCCUGUAUCUUUCAUACAACGUAUAAUUAACUCUCAACAGAAAGUGCCAUGAAUUCAUAAUGGGAGCCGACAGCGAGGGAGGAAGGCUCUGACAAGCAUGAGAUUUGUCGUGGGUUUUUUUUUUUUUAAUUUUUUAAAGGAACACCAACAGUUGCAGCUAUAAUCAUGGACCUCCUCCAGUAGUAAGUGUCUCCCCAGCCGGAUCAUGCUGUCUUCUGCCUGACCCGGACCGGAUCCCCUGGGGUGGCUAUGCCGUGCCAUGGAAAAGGAUGGGUCAGGAAGUUACUGAAACCUUCCCUGCGCCUGGUGGGCUUUGGGUUUUACAAUGAAAGAGUUGGUAAAUCAGCUCUACUCCAAUAAAAAAGGAAGAGCCUUCAAAGGAUUCAUGGGAAAGUGGCCACAGAGCACAGGAGGAGUCCACUAUGUAGGUGCUUUCAGAUUUUCUCCAGAG